rnacentral:rRNA from 1 species
AUACGUAGGGCGCGAGCGUUGUCCGGAAUUACUGGGUGUAAAGGGAGCGUAGGCGGGAGUGCAAGACAGAUGUGAAAUACAUGGGCUCAACCCAUGGGCUGCAUUUGAAACUGCAUUUCUUGAGUGAAGUAGAGGUAAGCGGAAUUCCUGGAGGAGAGGUGAAAUGCGUAGAUAUCAGGAGGAACACCGGUGGCGAAGGCGGCUUACUGGGCUUUUACUGACGUUGAGGCUCGAAAGCGUGGGGAGCGAACAGGAUUAGAUACCCUGGUAGUCCACGCUGUAAACGAUGAUUACUAGGUGUGGGGGGACUGACCCCUUCCGUGCCGCAGUUAACACAAUAAGUAAUCCACCUGGGGAGUACGGCCGCAAAGUUGAAACUCAAAUGAAUUGACGGG